AUGUUAACUGAGCUUGUUUUUCCUCCGGCCUCAAAAUUUUCUUUCUUUCUUCCAUUGCUGUUUACCAUAAGGACACUUCCCCCUGGGUCUCUCUCUCACAGGAAUAGUGCUCUUCACACCACCACCCCCACAACACAUACACACAUAAACACACCCAACAUAUACCACCUCAAACCCCUCUACACUCAGGGCUGCAAUUCUUCACUGUUCCAAGCCAAUGGUCACUGUUCUCCUGACAGAGGCCCGCAGCCCCACUUUCACCCUGUGUCACUGCAGGAAAUCUUUGCUCUAUGACAGAGCCUCCAGCGCAAGAGAAAUUUGUUCCUGGUCCCCCAAACUGGAAUUUGGAGGACCAAUAGCCUCCUGUUUGCUAAAUCCAAUGUUUAUUUCUUAAUCUUGGUCUCUAUACUACUGAUUGUCUUUUUUCAUCUUCCCUGAAAUUUUCUACAGUCUUGACUUCCGGGCACUGCUCUCAUCUAGCUGUGGUCCAACAUCUCUGGUUGCCCCCCUUGAAAUCCUCCUCAUCUACUUCUGUGGCCUUGCUUCUUACCUGUUGUAUCUCCUGCCUCUACUGCUCCUGAGCACUUCCCUCAUUUCCAACCUUCUGAUCAGGGUAAUGACCCAAGCACACAUCUGUAACUGAGCCUCUGCACCCAGGUCUGUGCCUCCUCCUUCCUUCCUUCCACCUUCCCUUCCUCCCUCCUCUCCUUCCUUCUCUUUCUUUCCUUCGCUCCUCCCUUCUCCCCUUUCUUUCCUCCUUUCUCCCUUUCUUUCCUUUUUUCUUUCUUUUUUCUUUCUUUCUCUUUCUUUCUUCUUUUUUCUUUCUCUUUCUUUCUUUCUUUCUUUCUUUCUUUCUUUCUUUCUUCCUUUCUUUUUCUUCUUUCAUAUGUGUGUGAAUAGUAUAUCACUACCCUAUCUAUUCAUUUCUGAUAUUAUCUUGUUACUAAAUCCAAUCUGUCUUCAGGCCCUAGCAAAUUUAUCACUUUAAUAUUCCUAAUCCAUCCCCUCUUCUUCCUCAUGUGCCCUUCCCUCAUGCCUCAUUAAUCUUCCCUGACAAAACUCCAACAGCCCUUCAGUCCCUCUCCCUAUCCUGUCCUCAUGGCCUCUCCCAUCCAGUAUAACAGAGUGACCAAGUAAAGUUUUAAAGUGUGAAUAUGAACAUGUCAGUCUCCUACUUGACAUCUCACCUCCAAGGGGGGCAAACAAACCCAUAUUUACCGAGCCCCAUUGGCCCAACCCUUGCUUGCAAGAUAAUCAACCUUCCCACCUGUUCUUCACAGGCCAAGAUCUUUUGAGCCUUCAUGCUGAUUCCCCUUCCCAUACUCAGAGGAAAUUCCCACUUUCACUCCCUUUCCAACUCCAUCCUUCCCUUCAAGAAAGAAAGAAAGAAAGAAAAAAAGAAAGAAAGAAAGAAAAAGAGUUCAAAUAUCCUCUGAGAGUCUUGUCCUGACCCUCUGUACCUUCAGCUUACUGUCCUAUGUAUUCACAUAACACACUAUUCUAUUUUCUGUGAUGGCCCUUAGACUAAGAAAUAGGCAUGUAACUGCCCAAUUCAAUCAUGAUAUCAUUAUCAUCAGGGACACAAUUUAUUUCUGUAUUCCCACCACAUAAAUACUCAAUACAUUUGUGAAUGAAUAAAUAAAUGCCUAUAUCCCCA
rnacentral:lncRNA from 12 species